CAAUAGCGUAUAUUUAAGUUGUUGCAGUUAAAAAGCUCGUAGUUGGAUUUCGGAUGGGAUUUGCCGGUCCGUCGUUACGAUGUGCACUGGCCAGUCCUAUCUUGUUGUCGGGGACUAGCUCCUUGGGUUCACUUCCUGGGACUAGGAGCUGACGAGGUUACUUUGAGUAAAUUAGAGUGUUCAAAGCAAGCCUACGCUCUGAAUACAUUAGCAUGGAAUAACACGAUAGGACUCUGGCUUAUCUUGUUGGUCUGUGAGACCAGAGUAAUGAUUAAGAGGGACAGUCGGGGACAUUCGUAUUUCAUUGUCAGAGGUGAAAUUCUUGGAUUUAUGAAAGACGAACUUCUGCGAAAGCAUUUGUCAAGGAUGUUUUCAUUAA
rnacentral:rRNA from 1 species